rnacentral:rRNA from 1 species
GAUGAACGCUGACAGAAUGCUUAACACAUGCAAGUCGACCGGAAAGGGCCUGUUUAACUUGGGUGCUCGAGUCGCACACGUGAGUAAAACGUAAGAGUCUCCUCCCCUAGCUUGUGAGAACACUUGGGAAAGCUUGGUAUUAUCCCAUAUAAGAGCACUUGCUGCACCGAGAGGGAUGAAAACUUUCAGCGGUUGGGGAUGGACUCGCGUCCUAUCAGCUUGUUGGUGGGGUAGUGGCUCACCAAGGCUUUGAUGGGUAGCCGGCCUGAGAGGGUGACCGGCCAAAUUGGGACUGAGAUACGGGCCAGACUCCUACGGGAGGCAAGAAUGGGGAAUAUUGCAAAAUGGGCGCAAGCCUGAUGCAGCAACGCCGCGUGCGGGAUAACGGCCUUCGGGUUGUAAACCGCUUUCUCCUGUGACGAAGCGUGAGUGACGGUAAUGGGUAAAGAAGCACCGGCUAACUACGUG